UACGUAGGGUGCGAGCGUUGUCCGGAAUUAUUGGGCGUAAAGAGCUUGUAGGCGGUCUGUCGCGUCUGCUGUGAAAAUCCGGGGCUCAACCCCGGACUUGCAGUGGGGUACGGGCAGACUAGAGUGUGGUAGGGGAGACUGGAAUUCCUGGUGUAGCGGUGAAAUGCGCAGAUAUCAGGAGGAACACCGAUGGCGAAGGCAGGUCUCUGGGC
rnacentral:rRNA from 1 species